UCACGCAUUUUAUUCCUGAUGAAAUGCUCAAUCAUUUGAUUCAUGGCGUAAGUGAUCUAGCUGAUUGGAGCUCUCACAAUGGUCUCAAUGACAAGAUAUUCAACACUCCUUCUGGUGGUGUGUAGCAGGCAAAAUGACGAUUUAAAAUGGCAGUGACUCCGGAAGUGAAGAGGACACAAUGUCGAAGUCUGUUUCACGGCGUCUGCGCCUAGAGACGCGAGUAAAGCUUCUAGAAAGACUGCUGCUUUUAAUGUUUUCUCA